GACAAGGGGAUGCAAUUAUCAACAGUCUUUGCCAUGCCACCCUGGUGGGCUACUCCUUUAGCACCCUUCCCCACUUCAAACAAAAGUAGCCUUUACAAAGUGUGGGCCCUGAGCACGAAGCCUCUGUGGUACAUACUCAGAGAGAGACUGCGCAGAAGGACGAAAGCGAACUAGCUCUGGGUAAAGGAUGUUUGAAGAGGGCAAGGUAUUUAUGUCUUCGUGCAAUUUUCAUGGGAAAAGCUGAAGUACUAAGUCAUAAAAGAAAACAGAACACCAUAUGCUAGAGAGAGGGACCAGAAGACUACCAAGGCAGCAAGAGACCCAGAACUGCAGGGGAGGGGGGCGGGGACGGGGCGGGGCAGCGUCGGCGACCCGGAAGUGUUCUCGGAAAGCUCACUCCGGCCCAACCCGGCCACGCCUACUCCACGCAUGCGCGCCAGCACCGCCCUUACAGCCCCUACCGCCACAGGGACACCGCCAUAAAAUUCCCACAGCUCAGGCGGGCACGCGCACGCUGCUGUCUACGUCGUGGCGAACGAGGCCGCACUGCUUCGUCCAGGGGGCGGGGCUGUCAGUCAAAGUGCACAGGCUGCUGAGGUAAGUAACCAAGACUUCCAGAAUCUUCGGUGGGGAGCUGAUCCCCCUACGAUCCUACCUGCCAGGACUAACUGGGUGGAAAGAAACCCUGGAGGCUCUCCCGCGCCGGGCGUAUGCAGACAAUUUCCUCCGACUGAGCAUGCGUGGGGCGGGUUGACGCCUGCGCAAUGGGGCGGCCGCGAGCCUCCCCCUU
rnacentral:lncRNA from 1 species